UGGGAGUCGUGAAGGAGACAAAAGAAAUUGUAUUGAGCAAUGUGUGUGUAGAGGGUUCACCAUUGCCAAAUGUCUACAUAUCAAAGGCAAUAGUGGUCCAAUUAGAAAAUAAAAAAAAAAAAAACAUACAUUGGAUAGCAUUCAUUUGAAACCUGCUAGGAAAUUUUCAAUGGUCAUUGUAUUCAAAAUUUAGGAUUGUUACAAUAAUAGAAAAACUUACAUAAAAAUCCAACAUUAAUGGAAGACUGACAAAUACUGAUGACUGCCUACUAACAAAGGAAAAACUAUUAAUGUUACCUAAAAUAAAAAGGCAGUUUUUAAUUUAAUACAAGUUUUCAACUAUGGUAGAACAUCAGUACAUUAAGUCUGUAAUCAGACUUACAUGGUAACCCAAUUCUAAUGAUUAAAAUUAUUUUCAUGAAUAUAGUUCCCUUAUUUAUUUUGCUCUAACCAGUUGAUGUCCAAUCGUGUGUCUACUUAUAUGUUGUGUCACACAAACUUUGACAACCAUUCCAUCCUAAUGACAU